rnacentral:rRNA from 1 species
UACGGGGGGGGCAAGCGUUGUUCGGAAUUACUGGGCGUAAAGGGCUCGUAGGCGGCCAACUAAGUCGGAUGUGAAAUCCCCAGGCUCAACCUGGGAACUGCAUCUGAUACUGGAUGGCUUGAAUUCGGGAGAGGGAUGCAGAAUUCCAGGUGUAGCGGUGAAAUGCGUAGAUAUCUGGAGGAAUACCGGUGGCGAAGGCGGCAUCCUGGACCGACAUUGACGCUGAGGAGCGAAAGCUAGGGGAGCAAACGGG